rfam:Limnohabitans sp. 103DPR2, complete genome.
GGGGCUGCACUGGUUUCGACAUGGGUUCGGACGCGUGGCAGGGCAUGUCGAGGUUCUGAUCCUCGUAAAACAGCAGAAAAAAAACUAACUGCAAACGACGAACGUUUCGCACUCGCCGCUUAAUCCGGUGAGCCUUGCAACAGUUGGCCGAUAGGCUGGGCAAGGGGGCAACAGGCGUUAAAACCUAAAGCUUCCAGGCUGCAAGGGAAAACAUAUGGGCUGGCGUCACAUCGGGCAUCUUGGUGUGGCGCGAGAAAAUAGGAUGCUGGUUGGAUCAAUAGCGUGUCGCUGCGCGAUUGGUUUGACGAGACUCAAAUCAGACGACUACACAUGUAGAACUGUACGAAAAUGGCUUGUGGACGCGGGUUCAAUUCCCGCCAGCUCCACCA